rfam:Otolemur garnettii contig151091, whole genome shotgun sequence.
GCUGGAUGCAGUGGCACGGGACUGUAGUCCCAGCUAUUCGGGAGGCUGAGACAGCAGGAUCGCUUGAGUCCAGGAGUUUCGGGCUGUAGUGUGCUAUGUUGAUCGGGUGUCUGCACUAAGUUCGGCAUCAAUAUUGUGACCUCCCGGGAGUGGGUGGGGGGCACCAGGUUGCCUAAGGAGGGGUGAACUGGCCCAGGUUAGAAACACAGCAGGUCAAAACUCCCAUGCUGAGCAGUAGUGGGAUUGCGCCUGCGAAUAGCCACUGCACUCCACCCUGGGCAACAAAGUGAGACCCCGUCUCUU